CCUACGGGUGGCAGCAGUGAGGAAUAUUGGUCAAUGGACGAGAGCCUGAACCAGCCAAGUAGCGUGAAGGAUGACUGCCCUACGGGUUGUAAACUUCUUUUAUAUGGGAAUAAAAUGUUCCACGUGUGGGUUUUUGUAUGUACUUUAUGAAUAAGGAUCGGCUAACUCCGUGCCAGCAGCCGCGGUAAUACGGAGGAUCCGAGCGUUAUCCGGAUUUAUUGGGUUUAAAGGGAGCGUAGGUGGGUUGUUAAGUCAGUUGUGAAAGUUUGCGGCUCAACCGUAAAAUUGCAGUUGAUACUGGCAGUCUUGAGUACAGUAGAGGUAGGCGGAAUUCGUGGUGUAGCGGUGAAAUGCUUAGAUAUCACGAAGAACUCCGAUUGCGAAGGCAGCCUACUAAACUGCCACUGACAUUGAUGCUCGAAAGUGUGGGUAUCAAACAGGAUUAGAUACCCCUGUAGUC
rnacentral:rRNA from 1 species